ensembl:misc_RNA Metazoa_SRP Metazoan signal recognition particle RNA
GCCGGGCGUGGUGGCGGACACCUGUAGUCCCAGCUACUCGGGAGGCUGAGGCAGGAGAAUUGCUUGAACCCAGGAGGUGGAGCUUGCAGUGAGCUGAGAUCACGGCACUGCACUCCAGCCUGGGUGACAGAGCAAGACUCUGUCUCAA